rnacentral:rRNA from 1 species
AUUGAACGCUGGCGGUAUGCCUUACACAUGCAAGUCGAACGGUAACAGGUCUUCGGAUGCUGACGAGUGGCGAACGGGUGAGUAAUACAUCGGAACGUGCCUAGUAGUGGGGGAUAACUACUCGAAAGAGUGGCUAAUACCGCAUGAGAUCUACGGAUGAAAGCAGGGGAUCGCCAGACCUUGUGCUACUAGAGCGGCCGAUGGCAGAUUAGGUAGUUGGCGGGAUAAAGGGGUACCAAGCCGACGAUCUGUAGCUGGUCUGAGAGGACGAUCAGCCACACUGGGACUGAGACACGGCCCAGACUCCUACGGGAGGCCGCAGUGGGGAAUUUUGGACAAUGGGCGAAAGCCUGAUCCAGCAAUGCCGCGUGCAGGAUGAAGGCCUUCGGGUUGUAAACUGCUUUUGUACGGAACGAAAAGCCCCGGGUUAAUACCCUGGGGUCAUGACGGUACCGUAAGAAUAAGCACCGGCUAACUACGUGCCAGCCGCCGCCGUAA